UAGUGUGGGAGAAACCAAACUA
rnacentral:siRNA from 1 species